GACGAACGCGGGCGGCGUGCGUAAUACAUGCAAGUAGAACGCUGAAGGAGGAGCUUGCUUCUCCGGAUGAGUUGCGAACGGGUGAGUAACGCGUAGGUAACCUGCCUGGUAGCGGGGGAUAACUAUUGGAAACGAUAGCUAAUACCGCAUAAGAGUAGAUGUUGCAUGACAUUUGCUUAAAAGGUGCAAUUGCAUCACUACCAGAUGGACCUGCGUUGUAUUAGCUAGUUGGUGGGGUAACGGCUCACCAAGGCGACGAUACAUAGCCGACCUGAGAGGGUGAUCGGCCACACUGGGACUGAGACACGGCCCAGACUCCUACGGGAGGCAGCAGUAGGGAAUCUUCGGCAAUGGACGGAAGUCUGACCGAGCAACGCCGCGUGAGUGAAGAAGGUUUUCGGAUCGUAAAGCUCUGUUGUAAGAGAAGAACGAGUGUGAGAGUGGAAAGUUCACACUGUGACGGUAUCUUACCAGAAAGGGACGGCUAACUACGUGCCAGCAGCCGCGGUAAUACGUAGGUCCCGAGCGUUGUCCGGAUUUAUUGGGCGUAAAGCGAGCGCAGGCGGUUAGAUAAGUCUGAAGUUAAAGGCUGUGGCUUAACCAUAGUACGCUUUGGAAACUGUUUAACUUGAGUGCAAGAGGGGAGAGUGGAAUUCCAUGUGUAGCGGUGAAAUGCGUAGAUAUAUGGAGGAACACCGGUGGCGAAAGCGGCUCUCUGGCUUGUAACUGACGCUGAGGCUCGAAAGCGUGGGGAGCAAACAGG
rnacentral:rRNA from 1 species